rnacentral:rRNA from 1 species
UACGAAGGGGGCUAGCGUUGCUCGGAAUUACUGGGCGUAAAGGGUUCGUAGGUGGUGCGGUAAGUUGGGAGUGAAAUCUCUGGGCUUAACUCAGGGGCUGCUUUCAAAACUGCCGUGCUCGAGUGCGAGAGAGGUCAGUGGAAUUGCAGGUGUAGCGGUGAAAUGCGUAGAUAUCUGCAGGAACACCCGUGGCGAAGGCGGCUGACUGGAUCGCAACUGACACUGAGGAACGAAAGCUAGGGGAGCAAACAGG